rnacentral:rRNA from 1 species
AGGACGAACGCUGGCGGCGUGCUUAACACAUGCAAGUCGAACGGUGACCUCGGAGCUUGCUCCGGGCGAUCAGUGGCGAACGGGUGAGUAACACGUGGGCAACCUGCCCCUGGCUCUGGGAUAACUCCGGGAAACCGGAGCUAAUACCGGAUACGAGACCGAUUGGCAUCUUUACGGUCUGGAAAGUUUUUCGGCCAGGGAUGGGCUCGCGGCCUAUCAGCUUGUUGGUGAGGUAAUGGCUCACCAAGGCGACGACGGGUAGCCGGCCUGAGAGGGCGACCGGCCACGACUGGGACUGAGACACGGCCCAGACUCCUACGGGAGGCAGCAGUGGGGAAUAUUGCGCAAUGGGCGAAAGCCUGACGCAGCGACGCCGCGUGAGGGAUGAAGGCCUUCGGGUUGUAAACCUCUUUCAGCAGGGAAGAAGCGAAAGUGGCGGUACCUGCAGAAGAAGCACCGGCUAACUACGUGCCAGCAGCCGC